GAACUGUCUGAAAAAUAUGGCUCUGAAGAAUGCUGGAAAGACAUAUUUUCUUUUCUUGUUGAAACUAUGGAGGCUGCUGUGAGAUCAUCGCAUGAAACUUCUAAUGUGGACGCUAAAGUGUACUAUCUACUUGAUAAGGAAAAGACGGAUACUGAAAAAUAUGCUCCAGUUGUAAACAUUGAUAAGGCAUUUGAAUCACCCCACAC
rnacentral:misc_RNA from 1 species